CGGGGGGGCAAGCGUUGUUCGGAAUUACUGGGCGUAAAGGGCUCGUAGGCGGCCAACUAAGUCAGACGUGAAAUCCCUCGGCUUAACCGGGGAACUGCGUCUGAUACUGGAUGGCUUGAAUCCGGGAGAGGGAUGCAGAAUUCCAGGUGUAGCGGUGAAAUGCGUAGAUAUCUGGAGGAAUACCGGUGGCGAAGGCGGCAUCCUGGACCGGCAUUGACGCUGAGUGAGCGAAAGCCAGGGGAGCAAACGGGAUUAGAUACCCCGGUAGUCCUGGCCCUAAACGAUGAAUGCUUGGUGUGGCGGGUAUCGAUCCCUGCCGUGCCGGAGCUAACGCAUUAAGCAUUCCGCCUGGGGAGUACGGUCGCAAGGCUG
rnacentral:rRNA from 1 species